rnacentral:lncRNA from 1 species
UUUUUUGGAUCAUUUUAUGUUCUACUUGUUUAAGUAUGAGGAGCGUGCGUGUGUGUGUGUGUGUGUGUGUGUAGAGAGAGAGAGAGAAAAAAUCAACCACAUAUCAGAAAGAAGAAAUCAAGGAAAGCUAAGCCAAUAAGACAUGCCCUAAAAGUUCCCUGGUGGCACAGCGGGUUAAGGAUCCAGCUUUGUCACUGCGGUGGCUUGGGGCUCAGCGGUGGUGCAGGUUCGAACUUUGGCCCGGGAACAUUCGCACACGCUGCAGGCACAGCCAGAAACAAAAGACCUGCCCUGAAUGUGAGAGAUGGUGCAUGUAAGCUUGGUCAGAGCAUGAGCUGAUGAGCGGCAAGCAGAAAGAACCAAAGUGGAGAUGCCUGUAUUCAGCAUUAUCCACCUAAGAAACUAUAUGUACUACAGAUGCUUAACACUCUCUACGGAAGUCAGAAAAAGGCUCUUUCUAAAUUAUUUUAAAGUAUGUCCCUCAACUCCUUGAAUAAGUUAUGUUCUCUGCACAAUGAUUCUCUUUUCUCCGCAUUCUCCUAACACUUGUUAUUUGUCGUCUCUUUGAUAAUAGCCAUUCUGACAGGUGUGGAAUGAUGUAUCAUAGAACGUAUCUAUGUCUAACUAUUUAGUUCUGGUUUUCUUAGAAACUCUUGGGGUCAACUUCAUGAAAGUUCUACUGAUUCCAAUUGCUUCACAACUCUGAGAAAGGCUAAACAAUAUUCAUUUACAUAUUAUCUUUCUUCAAGGAGCUAAGCAGAACUCUUCAAGAGCAAAAGACGAAAGUUAGCAAAUUUACAUCAAAUUUUAUACUAAGAGUCAAUAUACCCUGCUUUUAAAUAUACACAGAAAUUCUAAGUUAAUCAUAUACCCUUGGACAAAGACUCUUAAACAAAUACCAGAACGUAGAAAUUAUAAAUCAGAUUUUUCAACUAAAAAAUAUAAAAUCCAGGAGUUCCCAUCAUGGCACAUAGGUUAAGAAUCUGAAUGCAGCACCUCGGGCUGAUGCCCAGCCCAGCACAGUGGGCUAAAGGAUUCUCCCUUGCUGCAACUGUGAUGUAGGUCCCAGCUGUGGCUUGGAUUCACACUUUUCCCAGAAACUCCAUUUGCUGCAGGAGUGGCCAUAAAAUUUAAAAAAUGAAAAAAAAAAUAGAAAAUGCAACAGAAAAUAGAAAAAAUGUACUAAGCUUGAAUAUUUUUUAAAUGGUAAAAUGAAUUAGCAAACUAAAAAGCUUUUGCACAGGGAAGGAAACUAUCUACAAAAUGAAAAGGCUACCUACUGAAC